rnacentral:rRNA from 1 species
GUACCUACGGGACGCAGCAGUGGGGAAUAUUGCACAAUGGGGGGAACCCUGAUGCAGCGACGCCGCGUGGGUGAAGGAGUACUUCGGUACGUAAAGCCCUAUCAGCAGGAAAGAAGGAGGACGGUACCUGACUAAGAAGCCCCGGCUAACUACGUGCCAGCAGCCGCGGUAAUACGUAGGGGGCAAGCGUUAUCCGGAUUUACUGGGUGUAAAGGGGGCGCAGACGGCAGCGCAAGCCAGGAGUGAAAGCCCGGGGCCCAACCCCGGGACUGCUCUUGGAACUGCGCGGCUGGAGUGCAGGAGGG